rnacentral:lncRNA from 1 species
UGGUAGGAUAAUUAGCAUUUAAGCACUAAAAUGGGCACAUAAAUCAUCAUUUACAAGAAAUCUUAAGGGUACUACCUUUGAUUAACAUGAGAGGGGGAUUGUAUGAGGUUAAAAUAACCUAUAUAUGCAACAUAAAGAGGCCAGAAUAUUCAUUUUCACUCUGACCAGGGUCAGAAUAUUUGUUUUUUAUGCUCAUCCACCAAAAAAAAAGAGUCUUUAUCCCCCUCUGAUAAUCAAUUUUUCUUUCCGUAAUGCAAAUUUAC